AUUGAACGCUGGCGGCAUGCUUUACACAUGCAAGUCGAACGGUAACAGGCCGCAAGGUGCUGACGAGUGGCGAACGGGUGAGUAAUGCAUCGGAACGUGCCCAGUCGUGGGGGAUAACGCAGCGAAGGCUGUGCUAAUACCGCAUACGAUCUAUGGAUGAAAGCGGGGGACCGUAAGGCCUCGCGCGAUUGGAGCGGCCGAUGUCAGAUUAGGUAGUUGGAGGGGUAAAGGCUCACCAAGCCAACGAUCUGUAGCUGGUCUGAGAGGACGACCAGCCACACUGGGACUGAGACACGGCCCAGACUCCGACGGGAGGCAGCAGUGGGGAAUUUUGGACAAUGGGCGCAAGCCUGAUCCAGCAAUGCCGCGUGCAGGAAGAAGGCCUUCGGGUUGUAAACUGCUUUUGUACGGAACGAAAAGGUUUGGGUUAAUACCCUGGGCCGAUGACGGUACCGUAAGAAUAAGCACCGGCUAACUACGUACCAGCAGCCGCGGUAA
rnacentral:rRNA from 1 species